rnacentral:rRNA from 1 species
GACAGAGGGUGCAAACGUUGCUCGGAAUCACUGGGCGUAAAGGGCGUGUAGGCGUACAAGUAAGUCGGGCGUGAAAUCCCCAGGCUCAACCUGGGAACUGCACUCGAAACUGCAUGUCUUGAGUAUCGGAGAGGAAAGCGGAAUACCUGGUGUAGAGGUGAAAUUCGUAGAUAUCAGGUGGAACACCAGUGGCGAAGGCGGCUUUCUGGACGAUUACUGACGCUGAGACGCGAAAGCGUGGGGAGCAAACAGG